GCGGUGCAUUAACUAGUUGGCGAGGUAACGGCUCACCAAGGUGAUGAUGCAUAGCCGACCUGAGAGGGUAAUCGGCCACAUUGGGACUGAGACACGGCCCAAACUCCUACGGGAGGCAGCAGUAGGGAAUCUUCCGCAAUGGACGCAAGUCUGACGGAGCAACGCCGCGUGAGUGAAGAAGGUUUUCGGAUCGUAAAACUCUGUUGUAAGAGAAGAACAAAUUGUAGAGUAACUGCUACAGUCUUGACGGUAUCUUACCAGAAAGCCACGGCUAACUACGUGCCAGCAGCCGCGGUAAU
rnacentral:rRNA from 1 species